GGGAACCUCACCCGGCCCGGACACCGCGAGGAUUGACAGACUGAGAGCUCUUUCUCGAUUCGGUGGGUGGUGGUGCAUGGCCGUUCUUAGUUGGUGGAGCGAUCUGUCUGUUAAUUCCGAUAACGAACGAGACCCCAACCUGCUAACUAGCCCUCGGGUCCUGCUUCUGUUGGGCCCGACGGAAUGAUUCGCUUCUUAGAGGGACUCGCGGCGCCUAGCCGCACGAAGGGGGGCGAUAA
rnacentral:rRNA from 1 species